rnacentral:rRNA from 1 species
CCAGACUCCUACGGGAGGCAGCAGUGGGGAAUAUUGGACAAUGGGGGCAACCCUGAUCCAGCCAUGCCGCGUGUGUGAAGAAGGCCUUUUGGUUGUAAAGCACUUUAAGCAGGGAGGAGAGGCUAAUGGUUAAUACCCAUUAGAUUAGACGUUACCUGCAGAAUAAGCACCGGCUAACUCUGUGCCAGCAGCCGCGGUAAUACAGAGGGUGCGAGCGUUAAUCGGAAUUACUGGGCGUAAAGCGAGUGUAGGUGGCUCAUUAAGUCACAUGUGAAAUCCCCGGGCUUAACCUGGGAACUGCAUGUGAUACUGGUGGUGCUAGAAUAUGUGAGAGGGAAGUAGAAUUCCAGGUGUAGCGGUGAAAUGCGUAGAGAUCUGGAGGAAUACCGAUGGCGAAGGCAGCUUCCUGGCAUAAUAUUGACACUGAGAUUCGAAAGCGUGGGUAGCAAACAGGAUUAGAUACCCUGGUAGUCCACGCCGUAAACGAUGUCUACUAGCCGUUGGGGUCCUUGAGACUUUAGUGGCGCAGUUAACGCGAUAAGUAGACCGCCUGGGGAGUACGGCCGCAAGGUUAAAACUCAAAUGAAUUGACGGGGGCCCGCACAAGAG